AAGUGUCACCUGUGGUGUGAGGGAGCCUUUCUGUCUCAGAGUCUGGGCCAGUGUGGACAGUAUUCCACUGGAAGCUAUCUGCUCUGCAGCACCCGUUUCUAUAAAGAGAGCAGACUAUUUUGUGUGUUUUGAUACAUGUGUAUGUGGUGUGCCAUCAAUUAUUUAACAUCAAUUAUUUAACACAAGGCUUUCUGAACGGCUGUGUGUUUUCAGUAUGUACUUGCUUAGGUGCUCAGCAUGGUCCUCUCCUACCCAAUUAAAUCAAUAACUUUCCUUUCUCUAAAUUUCCUGUGCUUAUCCCAUCUCUUUCAUAUGCUCUAGCCCUUGCUCCACACAGCUACACUCCUGAUUCCGUUAGUAGCUUCUCAGCAGGAUAUGGCCUCACUGUCGAAUGAUGAGAGAAUUUCUUCAACCUUAAACUGCGGAGAAUCUUUCAUUAGAGUGGGCGUCCCAACUGAAAAACUCCAUCCAGCCGAGGAGGCAGGUCACGCUGUCAGAUCAGGCUGUGCUGCCAUAGCAACAUCUGCAUUGUGUUCGUUUGGGGGGAGUCUGGUUCUUCCAUUUUUAGACGCAUUUGCCAACUAAAAUUACUAAGAAUCUGACAGGCAGUAACAACAAAUUAAUUUUCACCAGAGGAGAGUAGAAGGAGAAGAGGAGGGAGCCAGCAAGAGUUUACAGGCAAACCCAGCAUAUAAUACAGACUGAGCUGAGGACAGAGAAAGAAUAUCUGCAAGAGGGAGAGUAAUCACCCUGAUAAUCCCUGGGGGGUGCCUUGCCAUCAAUGUCAGACUUUCUUUCAGAACACCAACAAGACCAGACAAAGACUGUAAUGGAAAAACAACUCUGUUGCUCCUUUGAGGCAUUUUGCAGAGGCAUUUCUACUAAAUAUGGCCACAUAUACAUUCAGUGGAUUAAUGCAUCAAAGAUGCAUGUGUUAUUAAAAUCUGAAUCCUUCAGUUCUCUCUGGGCUUUUUUUUCCACUUGUCCUACUCAGACAUUAACAGUAUCUGAGCAUAUUUACUUUCAUAAACUUUCCUAAAUCAUUCAGUCACUGCAAAUGAUUAUUUAACAAAAAAAAAAUCCAUGAAUCUUUUACA